rnacentral:lncRNA from 1 species
GGAAUAGAAGGGUUGUCCGUAUAGUUUUAUAAAACAUGCGAGUAUUCAUUAUCUUUGAAUAUUUUAUUAUCUAUUAAAACAUAGGAUAAAAAUAUAAUUAAGGGGUGGGUGAUAGGACUUGCCUUCACCGAUGUUUCCUAGGUUGACCAGAGUCUUGGCCUCUCGUCUUCUGGAUCUUUGGCUUUUUCGAAGUGUGGUCAGGCUAACGUUCUACUCAUCUUCUUGACGGGUGGCCUUUUGGCUUCAUAUCUUCAGGAUCCCUUGACGGGUCUUGGUCACAUCCUCGGAUCACAUAAGCAUAUAAACAAACAAAAAAUAUGCAAUCAAUUCUAGCAAUCAAUGUAUGACUAAAGAUGGAAAGGACGGUUGAUGCACAUUUUGGGAAUUAUCAUAUUUCUAAGGAUAAUCCCCAGAUAAAGGAUGAAUGGUUAAAUUUGUUGAAUUUAUAAGAGAAUUUUAAGAAAUUAUGAUUGGAUUUUUCUAGGAUUUGGACGGCGGCGUAACCACUAGGUUUGGAUGAUAUUUGGGUUUCUAGUUGGGCGGCAUAACAGUUAGAUUGGGUUCAUAUAUGUGGUUGAAUUUGGUAGCAUAAUGGUUGGAUUUGGAGGAUAAUUUGAGGUUUUGGAUGGGCGGCACUAUGGCUAGAUGGGGUUAAGGUUUAGGGUUUUGGUUGGACAUUAUAACGGCUAGGUUUGGUUGAUAUAGGAGUUUUGGAUCGGGCAAUAUAACGGCUGGGUUUAGAAAUAGAUCCUAGGUAUGAUGUGGGUGCUAGGUGAUGUGGAUGAACUUCAAGGUUAAGGAAGCUUGCAUAAUGAGCUCGACUUUAUCCCAAGGCCCUGCCCUAUGGCGGGUGGCAGUGAUAGGGGUUAGUGGCAACAAUAGAGUAGCGAGGAAUAGCUGGCUG